ACUGCUCAGUAACACGUGGACAACCUGCCCUUAGGUUGGGUAUAAACCCGGGAAACUGGGUAUAAUACCCGAUAGGUCUCGAUUGCUGGAAUGCAUCGAGAUUUAAAGCUCCGGCGCCUAAGGAUGGGUCUGCGGCCUAUCAGGUAGUAGUGGGUGUAGCGUACCUACUAGCCUACGACGGGUACGGGUUGUGAGAGCAAGAGCCCGGAGAUGGAUUCUGAGACACGAAUCCAGGCCCUACGGGGUGCAGCAGGCGCGAAAACUUUACAAUGCUGGCAACAGCGAUAAGGGAACCUCGAGUGCCAGGUUACAAAUCUGGCUGUCGAGAUGCCUAAAAAGCAUUUCAUAGCAAGGGCCGGGCAAGACCGGUGCCAGCCGCCGCGGUAACACCGGCGGCUCGAGUGGUAACCGUUAUUAUUGGGUCUAAAGGGUCUGUAGCCGGCCGGAUAAGUCUCUUGAGAAAUCUGGCAGCUUAACUGUCAGGCUUUCAGGAGAUACUGUCUGGCUCGAGGCCGGGAGAGGUGAGAGGUGCUUCAGGGGUAGGGGUGAAAUCUUGUAAUCCUUGAAGGACCACCAGUGGCGAAGGCGUCUCACCAGAACGGACCUGACGGCAAGGGACGAAAGCUAGGGGCACGAACCGGAUUAGAUACCCGGGUAGUCCUAGCCGUAAACGAUACUCGCUAGGUGUCGGCCACGGAGCGACCGUUGUCGGUGCCGUAGGGAAGCCGUGAAGCGAGCCACCUGGGAAGUACGGCCGCAAGGCUGAAACUUAAAGGAAUUGGCGGGGGAGCAC
rnacentral:rRNA from 1 species